rfam:Ailuropoda melanoleuca scaffold1901_15, whole genome shotgun sequence.
GCCUGGCUGGCUCAGUCAGUAGAGCAUGUGACUCUUGAUCUCAGGAUCGUGAGUUCAAGCCCCACGUUAGGUG